ensembl:lncRNA
CCUUUAACGGCGAUUAAACCGGAGUAAAAGGAAUAAUUCAUCAUCCUCACGCCGGUUUCUGUCCCCGAUGAGGCGAGGUCGCUAAUUACAGAGCGAUAUCGCGCCCAAUUACAGGAUUUAAAGCAGCCAGUUAGUCUGUGAGGAAAAUCGGCGCGCGUCUGAAACACGCUGUCGGCUUUUUUAUCGGAUCAUUACUCGCUGCACGGCUUUAUGAACGUAUCGAUCCCCCCGUUUUGAACCUCUUGGCGUAACAGAUACAGAUGCAUCUGAUUACACUCCAACUAAUCAAAAUAAAGAUCUCAAGCUAACGGAGCUAACUUUAGCUUACGUCCGAAUUCGAAACUCCUUUUAAGCUAACGAAGCUAACGUCGUCGUUUUCUUCUCUUCAGAUUUUAAACUAAUUACAAGUGAACUUCUCGGAUUUUUUUUUUUAGGGCUAAGCGACGCUAACGUCGUGGCUCGUUUCCUCCUGUUCAAAUGUUUCAUCAAAUACUCCAGAUUUUAAAAUAGCUAAGCUACUUCUAGGCUCGUUUUUAAACCUGACUUCUCGGCCGUUUUCUUCGGAUCGAUUCUUCAAAAAUGUUUGCUAACCGCUAAAAUGGGAAGCUAACUAAGCUCAUCUGUGCGCCGUUUUCUUCGGUGUAAUCUUUUAAGCUAGCUGUAAGCUAGCGUGUCAGAUUUUAAAAUAACUCAACUAAAUUCUAGACUGUUUCUUUUUAAACUCAGAUUUUAUGCUUUUUUAUAGGGGCAGAGGUCAUGUGAGGUCAUGUGAGGUCAUGUGAGAGGUCAUGUGAGGUGAUGGCUUUAAGCAGAACAUCUCUUUAACCUUUCAGUGUGUGUGUGUGUGUGUGUGUGUGUGUGUGUUAGCUCAGAGUGUGUGAGUGUGUUAGCUCAGAGAGAGAGUGUGUGUGUGUUAGCUCAGACUCAGAGUGUGUUUGUGUGUGUUAGUUCAGUGUGUGUUAGCUCAGAGUGUGUUUGUGUGUAUUUCAGUGUGUGUGUGUGUGUGUGUGUGUGUGUGUGUGUGUGUGUGUGUGUGUGUGUGAGAGAGAGAAAGUAAGACGAAUGGGGCACCAUGAUUGACUAUUUCCUCACAACACUGAAUCAAUGGAGUCAUUAUCAGCACAAUUACACUGCUAACACACACACUCUCUGAGCUAACUAACACACACACACACACACACACACACACACACACACACACACUCUGACCUAACCAACACACACACAGUUACUUUACCCCAGUUGUAGUCCAUCGUCCAGGACAUGUUUAGUGUCUGAAGUUUGCUGCUUGAGAUUCGCGCUGGAUCUACAAAGCUAAAGUUGCUAACAAGUAAUCAAAGCCUAUACCCACCUGGUUAGCAUGUAUAAAACACCACGCAGUUACCUAGCAACCGUACGACACUUUGCAUAAGUACCCCCGCCCCCUUGAACCUUUUUGUAGUGUUAAUCAAAGAUUAUAAAUCACAACCAAUAAUAAAUCCCGUAACACUAAAGACCCCGUGAGCGGCGGGUCAACAGAGUUCUUUACAAGCACAAACUGUAAAAUCUGCAUAAGUAUUCACCCCCCCCC